GACCUCGGAUCAGGUAGGGAUACCCGCUGAACUUAAGCAUAUCAAUAACG
rnacentral:rRNA from 1 species